AAAUUUGGUGACAAAAAAAAUUAAAACAGUUUAAAAGUGUUGAGUUUUAGCAUUUAAAAAUGAUGAUUCAUAAGAUUUAUUUUUUUUUCUAGUUCUUAUUGAAUCUAGGUUGUAGAAAUGGAAGAGGUUGAGUGCAUGUUGUGAUUGUUAACAUUUCAAGGUAAUGCCUUCAUAUACAUUUUUCAUAUUGUUUAAAUCUUACCUUUAUGUGUAUGAGUGCCAUAGACAAUAAAAUCUUUAGCAGUUCUACCUCUGGAAAAUACAUCAGUGGUCAGAUCAGAGCUGUCCAAGACCAAAGCUCAUUUUAAAAGUGAUCUUUUAAUGUUAUAACCCUUAAUCUCUUUACUUCUUAUUUGAAAUAUAUGUGCUUAUUAGUGCCAUGUUUUUUAAAGAGUUGUGCUCACUACCUUAAAAUUAAACUAAUAAAAUGGUGUAUUGUAAUAUGAAAAAUGUCAAUUUGUGAUUGCAUUUGUUCUUUUUAAAAAUAUUUAUUAUAUAUAUAUGAGUACACUGUAGCUGUCUUCAGACACACUAGAAGAGGGCAUUGGGUUCCAUUACAGAUGGCUGUGAGCCACCUUGUGAUUGCUGGGGAUUGAACUCAGGACCUCUGGGAGAGCAACCAGUGUUCUUAGCAGCUGAGCCAUCUCUCCAGUCAGCAUUUGUUUUUUGGAACAUAUUUAACACUACUCAUAUGAAAGAAUGUUAAGUAUUUUGAAAAGAGCAGUAAUUAGAUAAAAUGAGUGGUCCAUACUUUUUAUCAAACUUUGGUUUUUGGCAAUUGAAUGUGUACUCUAAGCGUUGGAUUAUUUGCCCAUGUAUUGCAUAUUAGAUAUCUGUAUCCUGUUUGUUAUUUUCACUGGUUUUAGACCAAGGAAAUGGGAACUUUGGUAUAAUUAAAAUACAUCUUAGAAAAUGGAGCUUAUUUAUUUAUUUUUGAGUCAGUGUCCCAUGUAGCCAGGCUGACCUUGAACUCUAACUGGAAAAAGUUUGGAGGAUAAUAAUUCAAAUUAGAUUGAGAAUUCCUUCUUAGAAAAUUGAGAAACCAAAGAAGUAAAAAGUUACACAUAACUUUACAGGAACAGAAGCAAGAGUAUAAUCCAGCAUUCUCUCCAUCAUGACUAACUUAAUUUGGAGUAUUCCUCAAAGGAUGAGUUUUUUUCUGUUUUAGUCUCGACACUGACUCUCAUACAUUCCUUCUUAGAUAAAUUUUUCUUUACAUUCUUGGUUCCUUCUCAGAUGGAAGUGUCUGAAGUUUCCUCCUUCCUUUCCCCAAGUCAAGAGGCUUUCAUAGAAUUUAGCUUAAGCAUUACUCAAGGCAAAAGAUGUUUAUUAAUAUUUAGUAUCUGUGAGUAAAGAUUUCAUUUGAUUCAUUUACUGCAAUUUACUGUGUAAAAAAGGAAGUUCUGUGUGUUUUGUGGUAGUGCAUUCCUAUAAUCCCAGCUAUGAGGAAGGAUCGUGAGUUCCUGAUGAGCCUGGGCUACAUAAGGUUAGCCUAGGCUAGGUAGUAAGAUCCUGUCUCAAAAGUAAACAAAAACUGAACAUUCUUUUGUUUGUCAUAGUUUUAGGUUUACAGAAAAAUGGAGAAGAUGGUGUGCAAUCAGUUCUCUUCCUUUGAUAGCUUAGUGUGACACAUUUGUCAAAGUUAAUGACCUAAUAUGUCAACAUGUUUACUAUUUUUAUAUUUUCAGUUUUUACUUUAGGUCUCCUUUUGGUAUUAAGAGCUCUUUUUAGGUACUGCAUUACAUUGUUACAUGACAUUGAAAAAAAUUCACUUAGAUUAUUUUGAUGGGUCUGUAGGUUCUUUGAAUGCAGAUACAUGAGAGAGGC
rnacentral:lncRNA from 1 species